UGGCGAUAAUAUUUUGCUACUUCCCCAAAAUAUUUUGGUUCUACAGGAUCGAUUUCAAAGUGCUGCUCUAUCAUUGUAAGCAUUUCAUCUUUAGUUACAACUUUACUGAAAUCCCAUCCAUUAUCAUUACCAACAUCCAUAAAUUCUAUAAAUCGAAUC
rnacentral:sRNA from 1 species